AGUUAGGAACCAUGCGAGUGGAUGGCGCCCAAACCUGCCAGGUCCGGAAGGAAGCAACAGUAAGUGCUUAUUCGCUGCGCCGUGGCAUCCCUAACUGUG
rnacentral:SRP_RNA from 1 species